rnacentral:rRNA from 1 species
ACGCUCGACACCUACGGAGGCAGCAGUAGGGAAUCUUCCACAAUGGACGCAAGUCUGAUGGAGCAACGCCGCGUGAGUGAAGAAGGUCUUCGGAUCGUAAAACUCUGUUGUUAGAGAAGAACACGAGUGAGAGUAACUGUUCAUUCGAUGACGGUAUCUAACCAGCAAGUCACGGCUAACUACGUGCCUGCAGCCGACGGUAAUCUGGAGGCGGGCUGGACGAAGGC